UGUCUCUUUCGCUCCCUUCAG
rnacentral:piRNA from 1 species